UACGUAGGGGCGAGCGUUGUCCGGAAUUAUUGGGCGUAAAGGUACGCAGGCGGUUCUUUAAGUCUGAUGUGAAAUCUCACAGCUUAACUGUGAGCGGUCAUUGGAAACUGAGGAACUUGAGUAUAGAAGAGAAGAGUGGAAUUCCAAGUGUAGCGGUGAAAUGCGUAGAUAUUUGGAGGAACACCAGUGGCGAAGGCGACUCUUUGGUCUAUUACUGACGCUGAGGUACGAAAGCAUGGGUAGCAAACAGGAUUAGAUACCCGCGUAGU
rnacentral:rRNA from 1 species